rnacentral:sRNA from 1 species
GGCCUAAGCUUCCCGUGGGCGUAUAAUACCUUAGGGCGUCCGGUCUGCUCGGACGCCUUUUUUAUGCCGUUG